rnacentral:rRNA from 1 species
AUUGAACGCUGGCGGCAUGCUUUACACAUGCCAGUCGAACGGCAGCGCGGGGCCACCUGGCGGCGAGUGGCGAACGGGUGAGUAAUAUAUCGGAACGUACCCAGAAGUGGGGGAUAACGUAGCGAAAGUUACGCUAAUACCGCAUACGAUCUACGGAUGAAAGUAGGGGACCGCAAGGCCUUAUGCUUUUGGAGCGGCCGAUAUCUGAUUAGCUAGUUGGUGAGGUAAAGGCUCACCAAGGCGACGAUCAGUAGCUGGUCUGAGAGGACGACCAGCCACACUGGAACUGAGACACGGUCCAGACUCCUACGGGAGGCAGCAGUGGGGAAUUUUGGACAAUGGGCGCAAGCCUGAUCCAGCAAUGCCGCGUGAGUGAAGAAGGCCUUCGGGUUGUAAAGCUCUUUUGUCAGGGAAGAAACGGUAGAGGCUAAUAUCCUUUGCUAAUGACGGUACCUGAAGAAUAAGCACCGGCUAACUACGUG